GGCUCGAGGACGAACGCUGGCGGCGUGCCUAAUACAUGCAAGUCGAACGGCUUUUCUAUGGAAGCUUGCUUCCACUGAGAAGAUAGUGGCGAACGGGUGAGUAACACGUGGGUAACCUGCCCAUAAGAGGGGGAUAACAUCCGGAAACGGGUGCUAAUACCGCAUAGUUUUCUUGAUCGCAUGAUCGGGAAAGGAAAGACGGCCUUUGUGCUGUCGCUUAUGGAUGGACCCGCGGCGUAUUAGUUAGUUGGUGAGGUAAUGGCUCACCAAGACGAUGAUACGUAGCCGACCUGAGAGGGUGAUCGGCCACAUUGGGACUGAGACACGGCCCAAACUCCUACGGGAGGCAGCAGUAGGGAAUCUUCCGCAAUGGACGAAAGUCUGACGGAGCAACGCCGCGUGAGUGAAGAAAGGUUUUCGGAUCGUAAAACUCUGUUGUCAGAGAAGAACAAGUUGGAGAGUAACUGCUCCAGCCUUGACGGUAUCUGACCAGAAAGCCACGGCUAACUACGUGCCAGCCGCCGC
rnacentral:rRNA from 1 species